GUGCAGUGCCGUUACUGGCGCGUGCGUAAUGCAGUGCCCAGAUUCGUGCAUGCGUACUGCUUUUCCGAGCCUUGCCGGUCCCGGUUGGUGCCGUGUCGGUUCUGCUACACGCCAGCACCAUGACCGUGAAUCUCCGGGCUCCUCCGUUCCACUGCCGCUGUGAGGGCUUUUAAACGGCUGGGGGUGGAAGGAGACGUUCGCUAGUUCACCGGGGCGGCGAGCGAGUUGGAUGCCGCGAGGCGCUGAGGGGCAGCUGUGAGCCGAACCGUCCGUUCCCGGGGGGGCUCGGGCAUAAAACGCCGGAAAUGGACGAGGGGCAUCCUGGGUUAGAAGGGGGAGAAUAUCGCUGAGCCGGCGAUCCAAGAAUUGCCUCCUUGCCCGUACCCGUAGCGGUUUGUAGAAACAAUUGCUAUCUUUAAGUUGACGGACGUAUGUUCGCUCUUAGCUGGAGGACUGAUCACCAUAGAGAGCGGCGGAUUAGCUGCGCAGAGCGCUUAGAACGGCACCUCCGCGUUUGUAGGCGCAUGCGUUAUGCUGCUGGCAGGACUUGGCGGCAGGCAGCGGCAGUUCCGCGCAUUGGCCACGAGGUGGCAGCAGAGACCGCGGAAAGAACGGUUCUGAGGGAUUGAUUGCAAGAGUCGGCGGCGGACAGCGGCAGUUCCGCGCAAUGGCCACGAGGUGGCAGCAGAGGCCGCGGAAAGAACGUUUCUGAGGGCUUGAUUGCGAGAGUCGGCCGCGGACAGCGGCAGUUCCGCGCAAUGGCCACGAGGUGGCAGCAGAGGCCGCGGAAAGAACGUUUCUGACGUGAUUUACGCGAACCCGCGGCGCAGUCCCUGGCGAUCCGUUCUCUGUGUAUCGUGUGAAUGCGGGGGAGGAACGCGAGGUCUGGAUGGACUGCACGAGCUCUUCCCGCUGCAGGAGCGCAGAAGCGACAACAACCCUGACUGGAACAGGGGAACUCUGAGAUGGCAGCCCGAAGCAGUGAUGGAGCAGCUGGCGAGGGGUGCAGCCCUGCAAGCACAGGUGGAAGCGGUGCACGUGUGGGACCAGAUGGGGCUGAGCCUGGCUCCACCCCUCCUCCC